CAGUCGCCGCGGUAAUACGUAGGUGGCAAGCGUUGUCCGGAAUUAUUGGGCGUAAAGGACUCGCAGGCGGUUUCUUAAGUCUGAUGUGAAAGCCCCCGGCUCAACCGGGGAGGGUCAUUGGAAACUGGGAAACUUGAGUGCAGAAGAGGAGAGUGGAAUUCCACGUGUAGCGGUGAAAUGCGUAGAGAUGUGGAGGAACACCAGUGGCGAAGGCGACUCUCUGGUCUGUAACUGACGCUGAGGAGCGAAAGCGUGGGGAGCGAACAGGAUUAGAUACCCCUGUAGUCCCUGUCUCUUAUAC
rnacentral:rRNA from 1 species